GACGAACGCUGGCGGCGUGCCUAAUACAUGCAAGUUGAGCGCUGAAGGUUGGUACUUGUACCAACUGGAUGAGCAGCGAACGGGUGAGUAACGCGUGGGGAAUCUGCCUUUGAGCGGGGGACAACAUUUGGAAACGAAUGCUAAUACCGCAUAAAAACUUUAAACACAAGUUUUAAGUUUGAAAGAUGCAAUUGCAUCACUCAAAGAUGAUCCCGCGUUGUAUUAGCUAGUUGGUGAGGUAAAGGCUCACCAAGGCGAUGAUACAUAGCCGACCUGAGAGGGUGAUCGGCCACAUUGGGACUGAGACACGGCCCAAACUCCUACGGGAGGCAGCAGUAGGGAAUCUUCGGCAAUGGACGAAAGUCUGACCGAGCAACGCCGCGUGAGUGAAGAAGGGAUUCGGAUCGUAAAACUCUGUUGGUAGAGAAGAACGUUGGUGAGAGUGGAAAGCUCAUCAAGUGACGGUAACUACCCAGAAAGGGACGGCUAACUACGUA
rnacentral:rRNA from 1 species